rnacentral:misc_RNA from 1 species
AACAUAAGAUGUGUAUGCCCUGCGCAUAUUACUCUUUAAACCCACACCUGAGUACCUUUCCUGUUGCUUCCGCGGAGCGGCGCCCUCUGGGUGCCACCGAUGGGGGGAUCACCCUCAUUGGACAGUCUCUGUGGGAGGUAUACAUCAAACCCUUUUGCAUUUCCAUGUCGUCUGUCUGAUACUGUUUAUAACAAAUGUUA